GGGCUUCAGCUCAGAGGGAAGGUUGAACAUCUGUCUUGCACACAGAAGGCCCCAGGUUCCAUUCCUGGGACGUCUA